GGGAAGGUGAACAGGCAGACAACAAAGGAUUGUCAGGGCAGUGAAACUGCUCUUUACGAUACUGUGACGGUGGAUAGAUGCCAUUAUACAUUUGUCCAAAAUCAUAGAGUAUACACCACCAGGAGUGAUCGCUAGUGUAAACUGCGGACUUUGGGUGACAAAGAUGUGUCCAUGAUGAGCUGGAGUGCUUCCAUAAAGAGACACGUCUCUCAUCUACAGCUUAGAUGCGCAGUGGUCCAAGGUACAAAUGGAGUCCGCCUACACUCUGACAGCCAUGAACCGACUCCAAGGACAUUGCUGUGCGCUGAGAAGCUGACACAGAGCAGAAUAAAGCACGAAGAUGACCAAACACAGACUGCCUGGUUUAUCCACAUAGCUGACUCUUCUGGAAUACCCUGCAUCUCAUUGCAGUGGAAGAUCAGGAAAUGAGAAAAACCUUAAUCUCAAAACUGGACGCAUCUACUCGAAUCAAGGAAGUCAGUCUCAUUUGAGAACAGCGCUCCCAGGCUCCCCAUCCACACUCGAAAGCUACACAAUGGCUUUUCCAAUCACAAGUCAAAUAAGCAUCUAAAGUUAAAGCCAUAAAGCCAUGAAAUAAAGCAUCAGGGAAUAACCCC
rnacentral:lncRNA from 1 species